UGGGGAAUUUUGGACAAUGGGCGAAAGCCUGAUCCAGCAAUGCCGCGUGUGUGAAGAAGGCCUUCGGGUUGUAAAGCACUUUUGUCCGGAAAGAAAUGGCUCUGGUUAAUACCUGGGGUCGAUGACGGUACCGGAAGAAUAAGGACCGGCUAACUACGUGCCAGCAGCCGCGGUAAUACGUAGGGUCCAAGCGUUAAUCGGAAUUACUGGGCGUAAAGCGUGCGCAGGCGGUUGUGCAAGACCGAUGUGAAAUCCCCGAGCUUAACUUGGGAAUUGCAUUGGUGACUGCACGGCUAGAGUGUGUCAGAGGGGGGUAGAAUUCCACGUGUAGCAGUGAAAUGCGUUGAGAUGUGGAGGAAUACCGAUGGCGAAGGCAGCCCCCUGGGAUAACACUGACGCUCAUGCACGAAAGCGUGGGGAGCAAACAGG
rnacentral:rRNA from 1 species